AACGAACGCUGGCGGCAGGCUUAACACAUGCAAGUCGAACGCCCCGCAAGGGGAGUGGCAGACGGGUGAGUAACGCGUGGGAAUCUACCUAGUUCUACGGAACAACAGUUGGAAACGACUGCUAAUACCGUAUACGCCCUAAGGGGGAAAGAUUUAUCGGAAUUAGACGAGCCCGCGUAAGAUUAGCUAGUUGGUGGGGUAAUGGCCUACCAAUGCGACGAUCUUUAGCUGGUCUGAGAGGAUGAUCAGCCACACUGGGACUGAGACACGGCCCAGACUACUACGGGAGGCAGCAGUGGGGAAUACUGGACAAUGGGCGCAAGCCUGAUCCAGCCAUGCCGCGUGAGUGAUGAAGACCUUAGGGUUGUAAAGCUCUUUCACCGAUGAAGAUAAUGACGGUAGUCGGAGAAGAAGCCCCGGCUAACUUCGUGCCAGCCGCCGCGGUAAGAC
rnacentral:rRNA from 1 species